rnacentral:lncRNA from 1 species
CCAUCUCUAAAUCCCGUGUUCUUCUUCCCAAUAACAACAAAAUUUGUAAUAGAGGGUUCGAACCUGAGGUGAAAUUAAUAAUGUUUAAAAAUCAAUCAAAUCCUUUUCUCUCACUUCUAUGAAUUCAAAAUACAAAAUAAAAAAAAUUACGAACUUAAAACAGUACAAAAACAACCUGAUGAUGAGAUCACAAACUUUUAAAACCUCUAUUUUUCACAUUUCAACUGUACAUAAAAUCCCAAAAUUCAUAAACCCAGAACAGAUCUUCCAUCGGUCAUCAGAGUUAUACCCACUUGGUGUUUCAUGUGGAGUAGUGGAAGUUGAGCUAAGAGGCAUCUCAUCAUUUUCCCUUCCUUUUCGUUUUGAUCCACCGACAAUCGACACCACCAUAACGGCCGAUUUGAAGAAUGUGUUUAAUAUCUUCAUCUUGAUCUGCCCUCUUUUUGGGGGAAGGCUUUGAUUUGCGUUAUUCUUUGUCUUAGAGGCAGUGAUUUUCAACCCAUCUCUAAUUCUCGUGUUCUAAUAAAUAAUAGGACAAUUUGUAAUAAAGAGUCCGAACUUGAGGUUAGGGCCUUGGUUCAGCAGUGCGUAUAAGCCACGAGAAUUCUAGUACGGAGAAGGAGAGCUUGAGCGAAGAAGAACACGGGAAUUAGAGACGGGGUGAAUGAUAAGUGUAAGAGGAAGAGAGAGAAUGGAGAAGAAAAUUAAGGAAUGAAGGAGAAAAAAAAAA